AGUGGGGGAAAUGUUUUUCUUCUUCCUCGUUACUGCCGAAAAACCAUUGAAGGCAAAUGGGAAAAGCUUGGUUAGUUUAUUUGCUAUCUUUGAAUGCAUAUCGAGAUACGAGAGCUUUUGUUGCCAAUCGUGAAAAAGAGAAAGCUACUGAAUAAUUGUUCACAAGCAUAAUUCCGGUUAGAUAAAUAGUAGAAUCGGACUCGGCAUCCUUCAAGUAUCCCGUACUUAAUGUUGGUAAUGUUUUCUUUUGUGUUUCUUUUUGGCAUGUACCUACGAGACAAAUUUAGUGAUAAUGUCCCUUUUGUUAGUAAGUCCUAGGGAAUAUGAAUUUAUAAGUUUAAAUGAUUGUAAAUACAUGUUUGAAGUUUUAUGCAUUACUUAAAAGUAAUGUUUGCUUAAAUGAUUU